rnacentral:rRNA from 1 species
GACACGCUGGCGGCGUGCUUAACACAUGCAAGUCGAACGGACCUUCUGAUUCUUUUGGUUGGUUGGUUAGUGGCGAACGGGUGAGUAACACGUGAGUAACCUGCCCUUCUCUUCGGGAUAACUGUCGGAAACGGUGGCUAAUACCGGAUAUUCAUAUGCUGUCGCAUGGUGGUGUGUGGAAAGAUUUUUUGGUGGGGGAUGGACUCGCGGCCUAUCAGCUUGUUGGUGAGGUAGUGGCUUACCAAGGCUUUGACGGGUAGCCGGCCUGAGAGGGCGACCGGCCACACUGGGACUGAGAUACGGCCCAGACUCCUACGGGAGGCAGCAGUGGGGAAUAUUGCACAAUGGGCGGAAGCCUGAUGCGGCGACGCCGUGUGCGGGAUGACGGCCUUCGGGUUGUAAACCGCUUUCAACUGUGACGAAUUUGACGGUAGCAGUAGAAGAAGCACCGGCUAACUACGUG